UAAGACCUCGCGUUAUUGGAGCGGCCGAUAUCUGAUUAGCUAGUUGGUGGGGUAAGAGCCUACCAAGGCGACGAUCAGUAGCUGGUCUGAGAGGACGACCAGCCACACUGGGACUGAGACACGGCCCAGACUCCUACGGGAGGCAGCAGUGGGGAAUUUUGGACAAUGGGCGAAAGCCUGAUCCAGCCAUGCCGCGUGAGUGAAGAAGGCCUUCGGGUUGUAAGCUCUUUCGCAAGGAAAGAAAUCCUAUCCACUAAUACUGGGUGGGGAUGACGGUACCUUGAUAAGAAGCACCGGCUAACUACGUGCCAGCAGCCGCGGUAAUACGUAGGGUGCGAGCGUUAAUCGGAAUUACUGGGCGUAAAGCGAGCGCAGGCGGUUUUGUAAGUCAGAUGUGAAAUCCCCGGGCUCAACCUGGGAACU
rnacentral:rRNA from 1 species